ACAGAUGGCCGGAGAGGUGCUGCUUUGGCAGAGGAAAGUCCGGGCUCUCUAUAGGCACGGUGCCGGAUAACGUCCGGCGAGGGUAACCUUAGGGAAAGUGCAACAGAAAGCAAACCGCCUGGAAACGGGUAAGGGUGAAAGGGUGUGGUAAGAGCGCACCGCGCCUUUGGUAACAAAGGUGGCACGGCAAACCCCACCGAGAGCAAGACCAAAUAGGAAUGAUACAUAAUCGGUCUAUAGGUUGUCAUUCGGGUCGGUCGCACGAGGCGUAGGGUAACUUACGUCCUAGAUGAAUACCUCUCCCCUUCUUUAAGGGACAGAACCCGGCUUACAGGCCAUCUGUUUAU
rnacentral:RNase_P_RNA from 10 species